UCAUGCCCAAGGUUAGUUAUUGUCGCACUUUAAUUUCAUCCUUGUAGCCAUUGUGUUCGCAUCAUUUUUCAGUUCGUAUUUUCCUCUUCAAUCCUUUCUUAACUUGUCUUCUCUUCUUUUUUCUGUUUGCGUUUGUAUUAUCGUUAAUGGAUUCUCUUCUCUCUAGGUAUAUAGGUGCCCUUUCAUAGCUUGUCUUCUUUAGGUGUUUUAAUUUUUAUUGCAGUUUUACCUGAAGUUGUAUGUAGUUUAAUGAAUUUGUAUUUGUAGAAUUAGUUUUCUUUGUUCACAUUUUUGUUAUCCUUAAUUUUAAACAGUAUGCCACAAUACAUAAUUCUGAUCUUUGAAACAAAAGAAUUCACUUGCAAGAUU
rnacentral:lncRNA from 1 species